rnacentral:rRNA from 1 species
GACGAACGCUGGCGGCGUGCCUAAUACAUGCAAGUUGAGCGCUGAAGGUUGGUACUUGUACCAACUGGAUGAGCAGCGAACGGGUGAGUAACGCGUGGGGAAUCUGCCUUUGAGCGGGGGACAACAUUUGGAAACGAAUGCUAAUACCGCAUAAAAACUUUAAACACAAGUUUUAAGUUUGAAAGAUGCAAUUGCAUCACUCAAAGAUGAUCCCGCGUUGUAUUAGCUAGUUGGAGAGGUAAAGGCUCACCAAGGCGAUGAUACAUAGCCGACCUGAGAGGGUGAUCGGCCACAUUGGGACUGAGACACGGCCCAAACUCCUACGGGAGGCAGCAGUAGGGAAUCUUCGGCAAUGGACGAAAGUCUGACCGAGCAACGCCGCGUGAGUGAAGAAGGUUUUCGGAUCGUAAAACUCUGUUGGUAGAGAAGAACGUUGGUGAGAGUGGAAAGCUCAUCAAGUGACGGUAACUACCCAGAAAGGGACGGCUAACUACGUG